rnacentral:lncRNA from 10 species
AGAAGAAAUGUUGCAGCUGGAUUCAAAGCUUAACCCGUGCAGGGAGAAUCUCCACUUUCUGUAGGACCUUCUCCCUUGCUGCUUCCCAGAAUGGCUGCUUUCAGUGAACUUUUAGCUGACAAAAGUCAAGAUGCCCCUCCCGUAAAGAUGGAAGUAAAUCCAGAAUUUGAAGAGGGACACAAGAGAAAUGGAGGAUCUGGGGGAAGCCAGUUGUGCUUCUUAAGGCCUCCCUGUUGAGAGACUCAUGCCAGUGAACUUGGAAGCAGAUCUCCUAAAGCCUCUCAACAGCUACAGAAAUUAACUUGAAAGGAGAUCCUCUAACCAGCUGAGGCUUGAGAUGACUGCAGCCCUGGCCAGGACCUCAGUCGCAGGCUGUGAGAGUCCUGGAGCCAAAAUCACCCAGAGAAGCUACUCCUGGAUUCCCAACACAGACCAUUGAAAUAAUAAAUGUUUAUUGCUUUAACCUCUAAGG